GUCUGCGCAAAGUCCUACUGACUCAUGGGAAAUGUAGUUUGUUUUUCAGUCAAACGUUUUCUGACGUCCUGCCCUCUCUCUCUCUAUAGAAGCCCAUUUAAGCCAUUUGAAAAAAAAUGUCACAUACUAUCUCAUAAGUAAGAGAUAGAAGGUCAGAAUUAUGACUUUCUAUCUCAUAAUUAAGAGAUACUAUUUCAUAAUUAUGAUUUUCUAUCUCAUAGUUAUAACUUUCUAUCCCAUAAGUAUGAGAUACAAACUCAUAAUUAUGACUUACUAUCUCAUAAUUAUGAUUUUCUAUCUCAUAAUUAUGAGAUAGCAUGUGACUUUUUUGGCAGAAAUGGACUUCCAUACAUCUUGUGUUUAUACACUGUAAAAAAAAAAAAAAAAAAAGAAGAAGAAAUGUUGUUAUUACGGUAAAAUUCCGGCAGCCAUGUGUGGAGAAGUGAGAAUGCCAAAUUACAAAAACAAAUCGAUAAAAGAAUAAAAUAAAAGUGGAAAUAUAAAGAAAAAUUUAAAAAAAUGAAAAAUCAAUAAUGUGGCAAUAUAAAACAAUAUUAAUAAAAAAUGAAUCUUUAAAAGAAAAGGCUAAUAAAAGUAGAAAUAUAAAGAAAAAAUAAGAAAUGUGCUCUUCCUUCGCUUUUAAAGCAACAUAACAUUAUAAUGUACUGUAAUAAUUUAUCAUUUAUAAUUAUGUAAUUUAUAUAGUAAUAUGCUAAAUAGAAAUAUAAUUUUAUAGUUUCUAAUUUUAUUAGCCUUUUCUUUUAUGGAUUCAUUUUUUGAUUAAUAUUGCUUUAUAUUGCACCAUUAUUUCUUAAAUUUUAUUUAAAAGCAUAUUUCUUCCUAUUUUCUUAUUUUCACUCGUUUUAGAUCAUAUUUACUUUUGUGGUGUUUCCAGAGGACAAAAAUAAAACUAUGGAGCACCAGCAGGGAAAAAGGAUUUCAGAUUUAGUUAUGAAAUGUUAAUAUUUGUUCCAACUUUGCAGCAUUUUCUCAUAAAUCCUGCAGGAGGCGCCAUUGUCUCCUUAAAGGUCUGCAGACUUUCCAGCUGUCCUCUGUGGGUGUUUUCUGCAUUCAGGAAUUUACAGCAGAAACGCUCUACUCUGCUUUGUUACACGUCUGCAUUUAAAUCAGAUUUUAAUAAGGAUCUCACCUGAAACUCACCUGAAACUCACCUGAAACUCACCUGGAUCUACAGGAACAUUCUGUUCAUUUACACAGAUAGGUAGAUUAAACCUUUAUUGGUCCUGCAGUGUUACAGCAGCAAAGACAGAAAAAACAGUACAAAAAAGAGCAGCACACAAUGCACAGAUAUACAGUACAUCAAUUAAGGUUGCUCUAUAUGAGUUAAAGUUGCUCUAAAAUAAAUUAAAGUUGCUCUAUAUUAGUUAAAGUUGCUCAAAAAUAAGUCAAAGUUGCUCUACAUUAGUUAAAGUUGCUCUAAAAUAAAUUAAAGUUGCGCUAUAUUAGUUAAAGUUGCUCAAAAAUAAGUCAAAGUUGCUCUACAUUAGUUAAAGUUGCUCUAAAAUAAAUUAAAGUUGCUCUAUAUUAGUUAAAGUUGCUCAAAAAUAAGUCAAAGUUGCUCUACAUUAGUUAAAGUUUCUCUAAAAUAAAUUAAAGUUGCUCUAUAUUAGUUAAAGUUGCUCUAUUAUUUAAGUUGCUCUAUAUUAAAGUUGCUCUAUUAUUUAAGUUGCUCUAUAUUAGUUAAAGUUGCUCUAUAUUAGUUAAAGUUGCUCUAUAUCAGUUAAAGAUGCUGUAAAAUGAAUUAAAGGUGCUCUAUAUUAGUUAAAGUUGCUCUGUUUAAGUUUAAGUUGCUCUAUAUUAAAGUUGCUCUAUAUUAGUUAAAGUUGCUCUAUUAUUUAAGUUGCUCUAUAUUAGUUAAAGUUGCUCUAUAUUAGUUAAAGUUGCUCUAUAUUAUGGAAGCAAAUCAGACUCAUCAGAUUCUGAAUUUUUAAAGGUGCUGAAUUUCUUACUUAUAAUUUUUUUUUGCAUCAAAAUUACAUAUGUGAAUUUUUUAUGCCUGAAUUUAGCUCAUCAAAAUUCUAAAAACCAGUUAAAAAUUCAAUGUCUUCAAAAUUCACCAUCAAAAAAUUCAAUGUUCAAAAUUCGCCAUCAAAAAAUUCAAUGUUCACAAUUCGCUGUCAAAAAAUUCGCUGUUCACAUCUGGGGGACUCCUCCUCCGGUCAUGUGACGCAGACGGUUCACCUCACAAGACCGGGGUCAAUCACAGCUACCAGCAUGAACGACGGCGCUUCACAACACCGUCUGAACUGACCAGUCUGGUGAAAUUCUGGACUGGAUGGGAGACUCUACCAAGAACUCUCUCCACAGAAGUAGUGAAUGGCAGAUACCUGACAGCCUCCACCUGCUAUGAGACCUUACAUUCCCAGGACAUUACAAGGACUACACAUCAUUUAAGACUGACAUCCUGGCCUGUAUUUGCACUUGCCAGUCAAGAUAUGUUAGGUGUUGUUCUCUAGUUAGUUUUACUUGACUGACAAAACUAAGUGCACUUUUGGAUUCCCUCCCCUACCUGUUCUCCCAACUCACCUGACAGGUUAUCUGGCUCAAGUAUGCGUGUUUCUGCCAUACAUUUAAAGUAUCUGAAGUUAAGAAUAUUUCUGGUGAACAAUACAUGCAAUCACGGCAUUAAAGCAGGAGUUAAAAAUGAA